AAGGGUGAGUAAGGCGACGGUAACCAACCCCAGGAUUGGGUAUAGCCGCGGGAAACCGCGGGUAAUCCCCAGCGACGCAACGACACCGGCAUCGGUGUUUUGCCAAAGCUUCGGCGUCGUGGGACGGGCUGUCGUGGUAUUAGCUUGUUGGCGGGGUAAUGGCCCACCAAGGCUGUGAUGCCUACCGGGCGUGCGAGCGUGGCCCGGCACACUGGGACUGAGACACUGCCCAGACUCCUACGGGAGGCUGCAGUCGAGAAUCUUCGGCAAUGGGCGCAAGCCUGACCGAGCGACGCCGCGUGGAGGAUGAAGGCCCUCGGGUUGUAAACUCCUGUCGAGGGGGAAAAAGGGUUGAAAGACCUUGAUUGAUCCCUGGAGGAAGCACGGGCUAAGUUCGUGCCAGCAGCCGCGGUAAGACGAACCGUGCGAACGUUAUUCGGAAUCAUUGGGCUUAAAGCGCGUGUAGGCGGAUUCGUGCGUCUGUCGCUGAAAUCCCCCGGCUCAACCGGGGAACGGGCGUGGAUACGACGAGUCUGGAGGGGCAUAGGGGGACCUGGAACUUCCGGUGGAGCGGUGAAAUGCGUUGA
rnacentral:rRNA from 1 species